rnacentral:rRNA from 1 species
CGAUACGGGGAGGUAGUGACAAUAAAUAACAAUAUAGGGCUCUUUCGGGUCUUAUAAUUGGAAUGAGUACAAUUUAAAUCCCUUAACGAGGAACAAUUGGAGGGCAAGUCUGGUGCCAGCAGCCGCGGUAAUUCCAGCUCCAAUAGCGUAUAUUAAAGUUGUUGCAGUUAAAAAGCUCGUAGUUGAACUUCAGACCUGGCCGGGCGGUCUGCCUAACGGUAUGUUUACUGUCUGGCUGGGUCUUACCCUCUUGGUGAGCCGGUAUGCCCUUUACUGGGUGUAUCGGGGAACCAGGAUCUUUACCUUGAGAAAAUUAGAGUGUUCAAAGCAGGCCUAUGCCCGAAUACAUUAGCAUGGAAUAAUAAAAUAGGACGUGCGGUUCUAUUUUGUUGGUUUCUAGAGUCGCCGUAAUGAUUAAUAGGGAUAGUUGGGGGCAUUAGUAUUCAGUCGCUAGAGGUGAAAUUCUUGGAUUGACUGAAGACUAACUACUGCGAAAGCAUUUGCCAA